rnacentral:misc_RNA from 1 species
AAGUCGUAACAAGGUUUCCGUAGGUGAACCUGCGGAAGGAUCAUUAACACGCGUAAUCUCUAACGAUUACAAACCAAACCCGUGCACAUGUAAUACCAAACAAACAGACCGCGAAUCGAGAUAGGCCGCUUUAGUCGGAAAGGAGUGUGUUGAUAAGUCACCGUGACUCCUUCGUCGAUUAGAGUGUUAUGGACUAUUGAAGCGCGGUAUACAAGUUCAAAUAAACUCAUCAGUGAUCGUACACCCUUACACCCCAAAUUGAACCAUAUAUUAUCUGAUUUUCCAACAGUACAAGUCGAAAGGCCUGGACUGCGCUGGAUCGUUUUAUUACGAAACAGUAUCGAACAACUCUAAGCAGUGGAUAUCUAGGUUCCCAU